rnacentral:tRNA from 1 species
GGGGGUAGCUCAGUGAUAGAGCAGGUGCCUACCAUGCACGAGGUCCUGGGUGCAAUCCUCAGUACUUCCA